AUCAAUCCAACGGCCCGGAGCUAAUUGAUUCUGUGAGCACAUGAUUUUUGCCUCGCUUGACAUGUUCCAAUAAAAUUCAUUAAAUUAGGAUUUUUCUUUUAUUAUUUGAAUUGUUUUUGGAAUUAAUUGUGUGAUUUUAUAUUUAUUUGUAUUUUUCCUUUAUUAUUUGAAUUUUUAGGAUUCAUUUGCAUGAUUUUGUGUUUGUUUGAAUUAAUUACAUAAUUUUAUGCUUAUUUGCAUGUUGCACUUUUUAAUUUGCAUAAUUCAUAGAAAUAUAAAAUGGAAUGGUAGCAUUUAGGAAUUAAUUUUUGCGUGUGUUUACGUUAUUAAUUAGUUAAUAUUGAAAAUAAAGAAAAAUAACAAAAUUAGUUAAUUUUCUUUGAAAUCUAGAGUUUAGGAGUUUUCUUAGUUUAUUUCAUGUUAAAAUAUGUUUUGGGUUAUUUUUAUUUUGCUACUAUAAAUCUGAGAAAAAAUUUCUAAUACAAAAAUAUACAAAAAAAAAAGAGGAAUAGUUGAUUGUAUAUAUAUUGGCUUAUUGAAAUACCAGUUUCGGGCCAAUUUUGGCAACAAAUCUGGCCCAAAAAAUUACCAAACCCACUAGACAUAGACCCAAACCCAAUACCCUGCCCGGUUCAAAAGCCAUGGGCACACAACGACGUAGUUUGCGCCGAGCAAUCUGAGCCAUUGAUCAGUCUUGAUCAAACGGUCAAGAUGCAAGGUUGGGUACCCUAUAUAAUUGUCACACACCCCCUACUAGUUAAUCCUCGUACCAUGUCCAGACUUACCCUAAAAUUAGCCAGUGUAACACUGGCUCACCACUGCCUUGCCUCCACCUUCCCUCUAUCGUCCGCCGCCGCCGGCGUAACUUCGAUGGACCCCAAAAUAACACCACACCUUCUCAUCACUCCCCUCUUUCCAACCCCUCCAUUGGCCACCCUUGAAUAUAGCCCCAUCUUGUCGAAUAUCUGUUUGAAAUUUGGUAGCUCCGCCGUCCGCGACGGCGAUCGGUUGCAAAUACACCAAGAUUUACACCACAGAUUCCUCACCCCACCCUCACCAUAAAUCUGAAACAACCGUCCUUCGAAUUAUGCCACAGCUCCUUGAAUUUUAGUUUGAAUCAUCCAGUAAAAAUACGAUCAUUCCCAAAAUCCACCAAAUGAACACUAUGCACUUUCCUCACACCCCUUAUCUUGAAUCCACAACUCUCAGUCCUCGAAUACUUCCCGUUUAGGUCAAAUUUUAAAUCAAAAGUUGGACCCAGAACCCUAGUUGUCUAAGCUUUGGGAUAUCCUUGGAUUUGGGCUUCCAUAGCCCUUAGUCUUGUGUUUUCCGGUGGAAAAAACAUGAUUAAGGUCGGUUUGACACCAAAAAUGCCGAGAAAUUCGCCACUGUUUGGGCCUGAAUUAGAGUUAGAGGUAUUUCGCUUUUACAUUUUAUUUUGCUUUUAUUUACGAUUCCUACCUUCAUUUUGUUGUGACCUUUGUGAUUAGUUUAGGGUCUUGUUUCAAUUUUCUGAUUUUUUUUAGAUUUAUUAGUAAUUCAAAUUGUCCAAUUUGAUUCCAUGUUCACCCGCUACCUUACAUUUUGAGUUUUGUUCGUUUCCUCUGCGUAAUUAGCUUCAAUUUCCUUUAUUGAUUAGUGAAAUUUUAGUUCUAUGCUACAUUCAAGACUCUAUUGAGUUUAGAUUUAAUUUGUAUAGCUAGAUUAAUUAGUUUUAAUUUUGGUUAUAAAUGGGAAGUUUCUAGCUCAUAACUAGUUAGCCAUAGUUAGUUGGACUAGGGUAAAGGGAAGCUGAAAAUGUAAGUAGGUCGUUUAAGUAAUUCUGGAAAGGGUAAGGGAUAGUAUGAGCAAUUCAGCAUGAAAGAACCUGUAGUAACUAGAAUGGAAACCCCUGGAAGCUUCUAGAAUAUGGGUCAAAUUGAAAUUCAGACCUUUUAUUUGUUAUAACUUGGAUAGCAAACUAAGUAUCUGAGGACUAGUGGUAUAAAACUUAAAAACAAAAGGGACCAAGCUGAAAUAAAGGACUUAAAGGUUUACCUAAUGGUUGGCCAAUAUGGAGGUAUUAGUCUUGCCUUUCAAGGCAAGAAAAAAGAUAGGCUAAAAAUACAGAAAAACACAUAUAAAAGAAAAAAUAUACUGCUACAUGGAGUUAAAAAUCUGAGAGUACAAAGACAUUGGAAGCUAAGAAAAUACAUAAAGAUAUUUUAGGGGGUCGAGAAUACAGGAUCAAGUGGCUACAUUACUGGGUUUCAUCUAAAUUCUGGAAAAAAUCAUAAAACAAAAUGACAUUGUUCCAUUAGGUUGCCUGGAUCACUGCAUUUUUCAAAUUACUGAAGCGCAGUUGGGUUCUUCGAAUGUUUAAGUGUGGUUAAAACCUUGUUUUUCAAAAGCAUGCUUUGAAACUGUGCCAUACCCUAUUCAACUGGAACUUUGUCCCUUUGGUUUCAUAGCACUUUUCCUUUGGUUUGAGUUUGGUCCACUGUUGUUGUUUUGGCUGUUAUGUCUCAUUGCUAAUGUCACCCACCUCUCACUUUUAAUUUCCAGGUACAAUCCAACUCUAUGAGUAUAAUCGAGAUGUAGCAUGAAGCAAGAAUUGAAAACAUGAAAUAAAUGAAAUUAUUAUGUAUAUUGUAUUUGGAUAUUUCAAUUUGAUGAUUUGAUUAGGAUGUUUAACCAUUACCUGACACGUUGAGAGUAUCUUCAUGUUCGAGUCUGUGCUAGUCAAUUACUUAGGUGUAUACUAGUUCAGUAUUUCUGGGAUUAACGAGAGUUCUCUAAUGAUUUGAUAUCUGAGCGUUUGAAUACUUGUUGUUAAUCAUGUAUUAAAUUGGAGCAUGAGUUGUGAGAUAGUCU
rnacentral:lncRNA from 1 species